UCCAAUUUUUCCCCUUCUUCCCCCUAUCCCCUCCCCCAGAUGGCAGGUUGACCAAUACAUGUUAAAUAUAGCAUUCUUAUUUCAAUGUGUAUCUCCCCUUUUUCUAGAUCUCAGAGCAUAAACCUAUGAAUGGGAUUUAGGAGAACAGAGUAGUGCAAAGCAUGGGAACGUCCUCCCACUACUUCUUGACAUAUUGAAUUUCUACCAACCCCCUAAACCAACUCAAAUGUUGCCUCACCUGGGAUCCCCAAGUCUAUAAAGACCUUAUUCCUUGGACCAAUAAUGAGUACUUUGAGAACAGACUGGGGGUGAGCUUUUUUUUUUAUUCUUGCUGCUUAUCAUAGUGUCUGACACAUAAUGGGCACUUAAUAAAUGCUUGUUGAUUGAUUGAAAAAUUUCAUUUUGUAUCUCUCUAACGUACUUGCUAUUCCAUGAUUUGACAAUUGCUUACCUUUCCAGAUGUUUCAUAUCACUCUCUUUCAUUUACAUUAUAAUGAUAGAGAGCAAGAAGAGAGAGAUGGGGGAAAGAAUAACAGGCUAAGGGUAAAGUCCAAAGGAGGAUCAUUUGGCAUUUAGACAUUGUCCAAGAGACUAGAAAGGCAGGUAAAAGAGGAGAAAGAUUAGUCUAAAUGGGAAAUGUCCAAGAAUAAAAUUGAUAAUAGAAAAGCAAAAGAAAAGAUGAAGGUAGAGAGGAGGAAGUGAGAGAUCUUAUCCGUUAGCAUAGGGCUCCCUAAGACAAGAGGGUGUCAUGUUCCAUAUGACCAC